UACGUAGGUGGCAAGCGUUGUCCGGAUUUACUGGGCGUAAAGGGCGUGCAGGCGGUCUGUUAAGUGCAGGGUGAAAGCUCCCGGCUCAACUGGGAGAGGUCCUUGCAUACUGGCGGACUUGAGGGGGGUAGAGGAAAGUGGAAUUCCCGGUGUAGUGGUGAUAUGCGUAGAGAUCCGGAGGAACACCAAAGGCGAAGGCAGUGUCCUGGGGAGUACCUGACGCUCAGGUGCGAAAGCCAGGGGAGCGAACGGG
rnacentral:rRNA from 1 species